UGGGGAAUAUUGCACAAUGGGCGCAAGCCUGAUGCAGCCAUGCCGCGUGUGUGAAGAAGGCCUUCGGGUUGUAAAGCACUUUCAGCGGGGAGGAAGGCGGUGAGGUUAAUAACCUCAUCGAUUGACGUUACCCGCAGAAGAAGCACCGGCUAACUCCGUGCCAGCAGCCGCGGUAAUACGGAGGGUGCAAGCGUUAAUCGGAAUUACUGGGCGUAAAGCGCACGCAGGCGGUUUGUUAAGUCAGAUGUGAAAUCCCCGGGCUCAACCUGGGAACUGCAUCUGAUACUGGCAAGCUUGAGUCUCGUAGAGGGGGGUAGAAUUCCAGGUGUAGCGGUGAAAUGCGUAGAGAUCUGGAGGAAUACCGGUGGCGAAGGCGGCCCCCUGGACGAAGACUGACGCUCAGGUGUGAAAGCGUGGGGAGCAAACAGG
rnacentral:rRNA from 1 species